GACGAACCGUGCGAACGUUGUUCGGAUUCACUGGGCUUAAAGGGCGCGUAGGCGGGCCGGCGAGUCAGGGGUGAAACCUUUCGGCCCAACCGGAAGCGUGCCCCUGAGACCGCCGGCCUCGAGGGGGGUAGGGGCGUGCGGAACUUCCGGUGGAGCGGUGAAAUGCGUAGAUAUCGGAAGGAACGCCGGUGGCGAAAGCGG
rnacentral:rRNA from 1 species